rnacentral:rRNA from 1 species
GAUGAGCGCUGGCGGCGUGCCUAAUACAUGCAAGUCGAGCGAACAGACGAGGAGCUUGCUCCUCUGACGUUAGCGGCGGACGGGUGAGUAACACGUGGAUAACCUACCUAUAAGACUGGGAUAACUUCGGGAAACCGGAGCUAAUACCGGAUAAUAUAUUGAACCGCAUGGUUCAAUAGUGAAAGACGGUUUUGCUGUCACUUAUAGAUGGAUCCGCGCCGCAUUAGCUAGUUGGUAAGGUAACGGCUUACCAAGGCAACGAUGCGUAGCCGACCUGAGAGGGUGAUCGGCCACACUGGAACUGAGACACGGUCCAGACUCCUACGGGAGGCAGCAGUAGGGAAUCUUCCGCAAUGGGCGAAAGCCUGACGGAGCAACGCCGCGUGAGUGAUGAAGGUCUUCGGAUCGUAAAACUCUGUUAUUAGGGAAGAACAAAUAUGUAAGUAACUAUGCACGUCUUGACGGUACCUAAUCAGAAAGCCACGGCUAACUACGUG